UUUGAGCUCUUCUGAACUUAUGGGCUAUGCGUACUUCGAUCUCUACUCCAGGUUCUGCAACUAUCUCUCUUUCUGAUGACCUUAUCCUCAUUGUACUUAACAAACUGUCUGACAACAAUGUCAUUAAUCCAGGAAAGGAAAAUAUGGCCAGACUUGUGUUUCGCCUCUCCAAAAUGGUUCAUUAUCAGCAAAUGUUGCUAGACAGGUUCCAGUUGUUCUACUGAUGUCUGAUAUUUUAAAGGGGGAUGUUAACUUUCCUGCAUUACUGCGAUUCUCUAAAGUUGUUAGUCUUUUCCAUGAAUUUGGCCAUAUGUCAUUGGCUCGCAUGAACAAGAAGGACUCGUGGCUGUUUUGGUGGAGCCUUUAUCUUACCGUGAGUGAAGUUACUUUUUUUUCCUUUUCC